rnacentral:rRNA from 1 species
AAAUUGAAGAGUUUGAUCAUGGCUCAGAUUGAACGCUGGCGGCAGGCCUAACACAUGCAAGUCGAACGGUAACAGGAAACAGCUUGCUGUUUCGCUGACGAGUGGCGGACGGGUGAGUAAUGUCUGGGAAACUGCCUGAUGGAGGGGGAUAACUACUGGAAACGGUAGCUAAUACCGCAUAACGUCGCAAGACCAAAGAGGGGGACCUUCGGGCCUCUUGCCAUCGGAUGUGCCCAGAUGGGAUUAGCUUGUUGGUGGGGUA